GAUGAAGAACGCAGCGAAAUGCGAUAAGUAAUGUGAAUUGCAGAAUUCAGUGAAUCAUCGAAUCUUUGAACGCACAUUGCGCCCGCCAGUAUUCUGGCGGGCAUGCCUGUUCGAGCGUCAUUUCAACCAUCAAGCCCCCGGCUUGUGUUGGGGACCUGCGGCUGCCGCAGGCCCUGAAAACCAGUGGCGGGCUCGCUAGUCACUCCGAGCGUAGUAAUACAUCUCGCUCAGGGCGUGCUGCGGGUUCCGGCCGUUAAAAGCCUUAUUUACCCAAGGUUGACCUCGGAUCAGGUAGGAAGACCCGCUGAACUUAAGCAUAUCAAUAAAGCGGAGGA
rnacentral:misc_RNA from 1 species